AAAAUAUAGUCUUUUAUUUACAGUCCUGUUCCUUAAGAAUUUAAAAAUAAAUACUCCCACUACAAUAACUUUUACAAAGUUACUCAUGUGUACAUCCUUUUUUCAGAAAAUUAAACUUUCAGAUACAUACACACACACAUACAUAUAUAUAAUUACAAUGUGAAGGGAGGAAAAAGAUCACCUGAAUCUAUUUUAGCUUAUUCUUUUAAGACAUUUAUAACAUAUUUAGUUAAGAACUACCCAAAGGAGAUUGAUUCCUGAAAAAGAAAAAACCUAACCCAUACUAAUAUUCCAUUAUUUUUGCUGUACAUUUUGGGGGACGAAAAAUGCAAAGUUGAGCUCAAUUCAAAUGUCAGCAAAUAUAUAACUGCUGAGUGUAUGUGUGAACAUUCAAGCAAAACUAUUAUUUUAUUAGAGCAAAUCCCAUAUGGACGUGAGAGACUUAAACCCUGUUACAUCUGUGAAACUUGCUAGGUACACAGAGAAUAUUAAUAGCAUUGUGAGAGAAUUUGCUAUUUUGCUACAUCUUCAGAGAGAAGUUAACUGGCCAAAGAGGCCUGUAUUUUGAUGGGUUUGAAUCAUAUGGAGAGAAGAGAGGGAAGAGUACCAAAACCAAUAAUGUUCAACAGUGCAACUAUUCAACUCAAAAUUACUGGAAAGUAAAACAACAAAAAAAAUUCCAAAUAACUAAGUGAAAAUUAUACUAUAAUCCUACUAAAAAGCACCUUCCAGAGGUUAACUCUGAUUCCUUCCAAAAUAAUAUUUCUCUGUUUUUGCUUCCUAUAAAUUCUGAUUAUGGCAAAGCUUUUAGCUUGUACAAGGAGUAAGAGCUGAGUAAAAUGGGCAGCUUUUCUUCUUGAUGCUGAUACUUCCCCCCAAAUAAUGUGUCAUUAUAAUAAAUACAUAUUUUCAAAAAACUGUAAAAAUAAUUCUGUUUCUUCUGGGCAACAUACUGCCAGUCACCAGCUGGACAUUCAGAAUUUUGCCGAGAGCUACUACAAGAAAUACUACUUUAACCAACUCGCUGUAAGAAGUCCUUACCCAAUCUCAUCUGACAUGGAGUGUGAGUUUUCUCUUCCUUUGCAACAGGUAUUACGGACGUUUCAAAACCAGUGCAAUAUGACAAGAAUGCAUUUCAUUUCACACAGCGUUUCUGAACUUGACACCUGACAUUAAAUUUUCCUCUCAAGUUUCCUUUUUCUGAGCUAUAUGCAGAUGAAAUGGUGUUGUUCAGGCUAUAGUAGUUACAGGUGGACGUGCUGAGCAUGCACACAGAUUAUUUUAUUUGACUAGCACUCAAGCUUACAUAGAAGUUUGUCCAAGACAACUUGUCUCAAUUAUCUGAUGUAAUACCAUCUUUCAAUUAAAACAAACAAACAAAACCAAACACUUAAAUAGGAAGUUAUGUGAGGAUGGACUUCUUCAUAUAAAAAUGCACUAGAAGAUAUAGUGAGCUUUAUAUUGUUUCAGUGGCAUUGUUUACCAACAUUUUCAUUUUAGGUAUGUUACUGAGUCUCUUUACUUAACCCCUGGAUAAGCGAUGGAAAAUAAUAUGUAUAAAAUGUAAUGCCAAAAUAUCCUGUACCACACAUGCUUCUGGUCUGGAGUCAAGCAGAAUUUGAACAUGUAACUAAAUACACAAGUUCUGCCUCCUACCCAGAGACACAGGCUUUCUUGAUGUAAAAUGCAUGAAAACAUUGUAUUGAUGGUCUAACUCUGAAAGCAAGUUGUGUUCGACUUGGGUGAAGGCUCAACUCACGUGUAGUAAAGCUGCAUAAGUCUUUAUUGUGAGUUAAUUAACAUCUUACCCAAUAGUUAAGUUCUUCUUGGACUGUUAGCAACUUUGCUUUUAAUAAAAGAAGGAGUGGGGAAUUAUAUGAAUUGCUGAGGAAAAAUGGUGAUAAGGGAGGAGUUCCCCAUGCCAGAUGCCAGUUUGCUGAAUAUGAACAUUACAGGGAAUCUUUAAGGAAUGAGAUUUCUAAUUUCUUUACAGCCCUUCUAAAAUGCACUGAACUGUAACACAGAAUGUAUAACAAUGAAAAGGAAACAGAAGAAAAGUACUGGUUUUCUGUGGAAUGAAAUAAGUUUUAUUCCUUUACCAUCCCAUCAGAUAUGAAAUAAUAGAACUGUGACCUUGUUCCAUUUUCAUUUAUUACGAAUUUAUUUUGUAAUAUGUACCAUAUUACAAAAUGGUAUCUUCUCCCCUUAAAUCUAGAAGAUAACCACACCACAAAAACUCAUUCUAAUAGAGAAAAAAAAAAUUAUAAGAAGAGCGUGGCUUUUAUCCAGUUUAUAGUGAUUAGCUGCUAAUGGCAAUACAUUCCUUAAACUACAACUAAGAAAUGAGCAUUAUGGAAAUUUAAUAUAUAUAAUAUCAUAUAUAUAAUAUAUGAUCUCUUUCCCUUUUGAAAAUGUAUGGCCAUUGAUGGUAUUUUCCAGUCUCCCUUCCAGGAUUCCCUGGGGCAUUCUUCGCUUAGGGAAUUCAACUGCAGUGUAACUCCAGAGAAGCUGCACUUAGGAAUUGAUGGAUAAAGCAGAGAUGCCAUGCCAACAGCCUCAUACACCAUUCUCCAAAAGCUCCCAGAGCUCCAAAACCUUUUGAGGCAGAUCCUACUACAGCAAAGAAAUGCGUGUCCCAUACUGGGAUAGUUCAGGAUAACUUUCAUAAUAGGAUUCUAAAAGAGAUUUUAUUCAGUCCCAUCACCCCAUAAAGUCCUCUAUGGAAACAGUUUACUGUGUGGGCCAUAGGAAUACUUACAUAAGUAAAAAUACUUGCAUGUGCUUGAUAAGCACUAUCAACCUCUAUAAAAAGUCUUCAUAUUACUUCGGUGUAAGAUUGUUGGUUAAAUUGAGGUGACAAAGUAGGAAAUGAAAUUUACGUGAAAUAUCUAAUGAAAAAAAUUAUCCUGCCUUUACUCUAAGAUGACAUCUGUCAGAAUCAAACCACAGGAAACGCAGUGCUAUUCUACAUUAAAGGGAAAGCUUAUGCUCCUCGAUAAUGUCCUCCCAGGAAGGGUGUGCAUUCUGGUCUAAGUUAACAGAUCAGCAUUUUUACUGCAUUGCUUAUUAAAACAAAUCUUUUAUACCCAGGCCUACAUUUAACAAAUCAAAAUUAUUUAAAGCCAGUUGAAACUCCAUAAAUUUAUGAAAAUAUCGGAGAGUUUAGAUAUAUCACAUUUUCAACAAGUGAAAAAAACCCCCAACAUCCAUUUUAGUAAUGUUUCUAAGAACAUUUUUUGAAUUGAAAGAAAAAAAAAGAAAGAAAAAAUUCUUGCAGGCAUUUUGAAAAAAACCUUACAAAACCAAGUAUUUUUGCUUGCACAACUUUUGAACUUUGUAAAGUAUGCAUAAAAUUGUUAUGGUUCAAGCCCUAUCGAGCAGUGGAAACAUUUGGUAAUGAUAUUAACAGGUCAUAUCUAAUAAUUCACUAAAAGGAGAGAUUGUUAUUUAAAUUUUGCAUCACAUAAGCUAUACACAAGGUAAACUCCUUUGCAUAUGCUCAAACCUUUGACAAAUACUAAGGAACUAGGAUUUCUGUGAUCCUGGGAUUUCACACUGCAAUACAAAAUGCCAGUUUUCUCAGACCUAACUUAGGAAUCUCUAAAACAGUGUUGAAUUCCAGAGCAUAUAAAUUUGUUACCUUGUAAAUACCACAAGGUGCAUCAGACAUAUUAAUUAAUUAAUCAUCUGAAAUACAAACAUUUAUAAUUUGACAACAGUGCAUUAUGUUGUUCUACACCAUACUAUUUGUGAUAUUUUAAAUUUAAAAUCGUAACAAAAUGCUCUUCUAGCUUGGAUAUUUCAUUAGAGCUGAUAAAAAAAAUAUUAUUAUGUCUUUUGACAUACUUAUUCUUACAUUUUUCUGUCUAGAGGAACUAUUUGAACUGGUCACUCAGUGGAUAUAGGAUGCCACUUAGUUACAUCUGAAGUGAGGCCAGCAAACUUUUAGACUACACAAAUGUUUCAGAAAGAUGUUCCAUCCUGAUUUGAAAGCAUCAGAAAAUGGAGAAACCACAACUAUCUUUGCUAACUUCUUCCAGUGGUUAACUAACCUCAUUAAUAAUAGUUUGGAAUUUAUUGUUAAUUUUAACUUAUCUGGUUUUAAUUUUUAUACUGUGUUUGUUGUAUUUUUCCUUGCUGGCUCAAGACAUCAUUUAAUUCCUAGUAUUUUCUCUCUUUGAAGCAACUUAUUGACUAUAAUCAAGUUACCUCUUAACUUUCUUCUUUCUUUUCAUUUAUAUGCAAAUACAUAUGCUUAUCUUCAAAAGAAGAAAAAAAAAAAAAAAAAAAAAAGCGCGCAAGAUCCAUAACAAUAUUGAUUGAGAAAAGGCCAAGAAUGAACAAAACCAAGGUGGAAAUGCUUUUCUGAAACUAUAAAUUUAGACUAAACACAGAUUAAGGAGGUUGGUUUUCAAAAACACAUCAACACUGUAAUGAGAUUAAUAUUUCUAACUUGUUUGGGUGUUUCUGAAAUUCCACACCCACACAAGAAUAAGGCAUCCAUUUUAAAGAUAUUGACCUGAAGCAAUGAAGAAAUAGUAUUACUAAAUAAGUAAAUACAGUCUUCCACUGCCCCAUAUUCAUGAGCUAGGAAAGAUGCUUAGAUCUAAGAAAGAAACUGAUAACAUUUUAUGAGAAAAUCAGGGCAAUAAGAACCCUGUACAUCAUAUGGAAAACAAAAUAUUUUAUUCAUGUUUCAUGUAGAAAAAAAUCAGACUGGUCAGAAAUAUCCUGGCUGUUUAUAUGUGGUUGGAGGAGAUAUGCUCAGCAAUUCAGAAAGGCUAAAUCCCAUGUAAACUUUAUCCAUCCUAGAACCACUUAAGAUGUUCAAUUAUUUUUCUCUCUGAUUUCUGAACAUUCCAUCCAUUCUACUUUUUCUAUAUGUACAGAAACUGAAGAUCACAGAGUUUCUGUUUUGCUGCAAAAAAUUUCUAAGUUAAAUACAAAAGUACAAUAUUCAUUCUCUACAUUUAUAACCCUAUAAUAAAGCACAUGAUAAAACACUUACAUGGGUUCGUCAUGGCAAAACACCUGCGUAGUUUUCAUAGAUUAAUAAAAACGUAAUGAAAAUAAAAUUUAUAUUGUCAAAAUAUCUCAAAGAUGCUAAAAGGUCUUUUAUUUUAAAAACAGUAAGUGGUAAUGUUGUAAAUAAGGUAAAGAGCACUUCACAAAUUAUUGAUAAUUACUUAUCUAAACUGAAUUAUUCCUAAUAAAUUGAUUUAUAAAUCAGUAAUGUAUAUAAUUUUCCUGGGUAAUAAGCACCUACUGAGUAAUAUGGGUUUUAACAGUACUUUGCUUUACAGACUUUGAAAAACUUGGCAAUAAUAGAAGAGUUGAAACCAAAACAAAAACCAGAAAAGACGACCCUCUUAAGCUACAUCUACUCUGCGGUCACAGAAGUGACUUCUAGGUAGUGUAGAGUUAUUUUAAAUUACAUAGACUGGAAAAUUAUAACUGUCUAGCUAUUGCUGCUCGGAUUUAUUUAGUCCACUCUACUUUUACUUCCUUGACAGAAGUGUAGACAUAUACCAGAGACUUCUGUUCUGUUCCAUCUUUUUAUUUUUCUUUCUUUCCUCCUUCUCUCCUUUUAUUCUCCUCAAAUUAGAAAGCUCAGGGUAAAGUCAGGCACCGAACUAAACGCAAGCUUAAAACAUAACUUUUGGUGACACUUGGUGACCCCAAGAUGAAUGCUGGUUGAUGCCCACUUGUUAGGUCUGUAGUGUCUAAGUAUUUCAUAAUUAGAUAGCUUACACAGGUAUGUAAUACCACUUAAUAUCUCUUCUUGAAUACAACAAUUUAGUUAAGGUUAGCAGGUGUACCAUUGUCACUUCAAUCACUGAAGACCCUUCUGGGUAUCACUAGGGGUGUAAGUGUGAUAUAGUUAGCUGACGAAUUCCAUCCAAGAUUCUUAAAGUCCUGAUUAAGAGAAUGAAUCAAAUAGUCUGGGUGAAUGAUUUUUUUAACCUUAAAAACAGUUUACCUAGUAGUGGAGGAUUUAAGUUAUGAGUGAAGUUGGAAUCAGAAUCUCUGUCCUGAGAGAAAAAUCAGUACAACUGAAUAUGAGGAAGAAACAAUGUCUCUGUGCUAGAUAAGUUUUUGAAUCUUCUGAAAAAAUAGCCUAAAUUCUCAAAACUUUGGCAAAUUGAUAAUCUAAAAAAAUAAUUAUAAAUCUGAUGAAGGAAUGCUUUACAUCUAUAAUUUUAAUUUUAAUCCCUUUUUAUAUACAUUUUUCAACAUUUCAAAAUGAAAAGUCAAUUUGAACCGAAAAAUGAAACUUCACAUUUAAAAAUUUUGAAACAGGAUAUUUCAAUAAUUUAAAAACUUUUUUCCAUAAUAUAUUUCUAAUGAGCAUUUUCAAGAACAAUCCUUUUUCACAAACAGUGUUACUCUUGUGGAUUAAUAUUUCAAGUAAAACAUUUAAUUGAAAAAUUCCUGAUCAAGUGCAAUACACACUAUCUUCAUGAUAGAUAGAAAACCAUAUCAAAACUCAACACUUGUUUUCUUAAACACUCACCAGAACUGCCUUGCUUGCUGUUCUUCUUUGGCUUUUAUAAGCAUUAUUGCUUCUAUUUAUCACUAAUAAUAUUGGAAACAAAUGUAUUUUACCUAUUUGGUGGAAGACAGAAAACUUAAUCUUUGGAAUUUAUUACUCUGCAGUCAGAAUAGUCAAACCACAAAUCAGAUUAUUUUUGCUGGUAUAUUAUUGACUGUUUUCAUAAGAAUUAUGUUUACUCAUCUUCAGUAUAUCUUGAGUAUAUCUGCAGGAGCUAGAAACUCCAAAACAUACAAGGGAAUCUUGAUUUCCUUAUUUUUAUUUACAGAGCAACAAGAGAUAUACUUAUUUAAGAAACCUGCAAUAUAUGAAAUCUUCAGGUUAAUACAAGAAUGAGGUUUCAUCACAGUUUCUCUAUCUAAUUUACUGCAUGUAUAACCCAUGUUUGUCUCAUGUAUAUUCUUUCCAGCUUCUAAGCAAAGGACUAAUACCUUCCCCCUAUUAUCUUUCUGUAGUUUUUCACUUCACCUAAUUUCUCUUCAUAACUAACAUAAACAUUAUCAUAAAGAAGGGGAUUUCUCUCUUAUGGACAGCAAGCAGAGGUAUGUUUUCUCCAGUUUAUUGUUCCUAUUUAUAGGUCAUUACCUAAUUGUAUUUAAAAAUCACUUUUCUGUUUUACCUUAACUUCUGCUUCAAGAUCGCUCCUUCUAAGAAUCCAAAUCCUUAAAAUGCAGUUAACUUCUGCUU